rnacentral:tRNA from 1 species
CUCCCGAUGGUGUAGUUGGUUGAUCACGUUCGACUGUAACUCUGCAUGCUCCUUGCAAGCAAUGCUUAUCGAAAGGUCGCUAGUUCGAUUCUGGCUCGGGAGA